UAACCGGAUUAGAUACCCUGGUAGUCCACGCCGUAAACGAUGUCGACUUGGAGGUUGUGCCCUUGAGGCGUGGCUUCCGGAGCUAACGCGUUAAGUCGACCGCCUGGGGAGUACGGCCGCAAGGUUAAAACUCAAAUGAAUUGACGGGGGCCCGCACAAGCGGUGGAGCAUGUGGUUUAAUUCGAUGCAACGCGAAGAACCUUACCUGGUCUUGACAUCCACGGAAGUUUUCAGAGAUGAGAAUGUGCCUUCGGGAACCGUGAGACAGGUGCUGCAUGGCUGUCGUCAGCUCGUGUUGCGAAAUGUUGGGUUAAGUCCCGCAACGAGCGCAACCCUUAUCCUUUGUUGCCAGCGGUCCGGCCGGGAACUCAAAGGAGACUGCCAGUGAUAAACUGGAGGAAGGUGGGGAUGACGUAA
rnacentral:rRNA from 1 species